rnacentral:rRNA from 1 species
AUUGUUUGUAUUCUAGAAACUAAACUUGAGGUGGUGGACACUUUUGUAAUCUUGCAAUGCAUGGGGCCGAACUAUGAUGGUUUCACUUACUUACCAGCGUCGGACACUAGAGGCGGCAUCUUUGUGGCAUGGGACACCACACGGCUCCUCUUGUCAAACUAUGUCAAUGACUCCCAUAGCAUUUCGGCGUACGUCUCGCCCAAGGAGGGAGAGCCAUGGUGGCUCACAGUAGUAUAUGGGCCUCAAGAAGAUGAGCGCAAAAUUAAGUUCCUUAAUGAGCUCUCGGAGCAUAGAUCACUAUGUCCAGGGCCAUGGCUAGUCUUGGGAGAUUUCAACCUCAUCCUUUAUGCGGCAGACAAAAGCAAC